rnacentral:rRNA from 1 species
CGAACGCUGGCGGCGUGCUUAACACAUGCAAGUCGAGCGAUGAAGUUUCUUCGGAAAUGGAUUAGCGGCGAACGGGUGAGGAACACGUGAAGAAUCUGCCCUCCACUUUGGGAUAACACCGGGAAACCGGUGCUAAUACCGAAUAUUGAGACAUAAGUGGCAUCACUGAGUUUUUGAAAGAAUUUCGGUGGAGGAUGACUUCGCGGCCUAUCAGCUAGUUGGUGAGGUAAUGGCUCACCAAGGCAACGACGGGUAGCCGGCCUGAGAGGGCGACCGGCCACACUGGGACUGAGACACGGCCCAGACUCCUACGGGAGGCAGCAGUGGGGAAUCUUGCACAAUGGAGGAAACUCUGAUGCAGCGAUGCCGCGUGAGUGAAGAAGGCCUUUGGGUUGUAAAGCUCUUUUGUAGGGGAAGAUAAUGACUGUACCCUAAGAAUAAGGUCCGGCUAACUUCGUGCCAGCAGCCGCGGUAAUCUGAUGGCGCGAGG